GGGGGGGGGGAAAGGGGGGGGGGCAGGGCUACUCCCGGCGCGUUUUGUCCCCGCUCCUCAUCCCCCCGCCGGGUGUUUUUGGGGGCUGGCGGAGUCCCGGGCGGAGGUUUUAAGGUGGCUUCUGCCAAAGUUGGGCUCCGGCGCCUUCGGCGUGAAGGGCAGGGACGCCACGAGUCGAAUGGUUCGGCUCCGGAGGGCAGCGCUUCCCCAUUGGUCACUCGGCCUCCUGACGUCACCGCCCCUGCGCGCCGCCGAGCGCGCAACCCGCGGGGGCGCGCAACUCCCCGCCUCCCCCCGCCCUGCGCGGAACGAGGUGCGCGCGUUGCGCGCUCUGCGCGGGGCGGGAUGAGGCGCGGGGCGAGAGGAUGCGCGCCCUCAUCCCCCCCUUCCCCCUUCCCUCGCCCUUCAAUUCCGAUUUGCGCGCUAUUUUCGCUCUUGCGCGCCGCCGCCGGCCGCGCGCGCGCUCCCUGCGCCUUCCCCCCCCCCCCCAUCAUUAUUAUUAUUAUUUCUUUUUCCGCCUGCGAGCAGCCGGCUCCCGUAAUCGCUUUCAAAUAUAUGCAAAUGGUUACGUGCGGUUAGCGGUUUUGGCAAAGCUUGAUUAGGAUAUAAACGACCCAAGGAAAAGCGCCUUCGCCCUAAAUUUGUCUUUAGAUUACAAUUCCGGUUGAUUUUAUUUUAUUGUCAACAUUGUUAAUGAUAAAAAUAGAGUCGUUUUACAGUUAUUUUUACUUUCUGGAAGGAGGCAAUUAGACUUCUAAUCAGGAAUACACAAAAAUCUCCCAUGAUUAACUGCAGUACUUUGUUCAAAUUGCUGCUAUAAAAUUCAGAACAAUUUGCCUGUAAUGAUUAUGGACUGGGUUUAUUUUGGGAGGUGGAAUAAAAGUGGAUAUAGCAUAAAUUAUCCUCUAAUUAUACACCAGUGUCGCCUCAAUUAUCCUCUUAUCAAAAUGGUUGUCUAACUGCCGCAUUUAGUUUCAAUUCUCUCCUUUUUUCUAUAAAAAGAACUUCAUACCUUGUUAUUAUUAAUCCAUUUAUUAUUUGCAAGGGGAUUUAUAUCCGAGCAUCCAGGUGGUACUACCACUUCUCUCUCAAAGAUGGACCGGGGAAAGACAUUAACUUUGAUCCGGCACCGCGGAGGAUCUCUCUCCCCUCUCUCUCCUCUCCCUCUCUUUCCCCCUUCCCCUCUCUCGACUCUCCUCUCGGGCAGCGCAGCUCCAGAGCCGACCCCAGCGCGGAGGACUGAGGGCUUGGUUCAAAGAGGAUUGGCAGCCACAGAACGACCUCACCAAGGCUUCCAGGACUUCCAGUUACGUCAUUAAUGAAGACCUUCUGAACAUUUUGAUCUUCUGCCUUCCCUGUGAAGAAGAAUAAUGAUCCCACCUUUGAGAAAGGUUUUGAAAUUGUCAGGGAUUUAGAUAUUAAUCAUUCUUAUGCCUCUUUAGAAGCAGUAAGAAAUGAAACAGCAUUUACAGAAAGACUGUGUUUUAUUAUAUUUACAACAAUGGAACUGGAAUAUAACCUUUUUAUUUAAAAAUCAAGCUGCAGAUUAAGUUUUGAUUGCAGUAUUUUGUACUGAAAAUAAGAAUAAUGGAAGCAAUUAAGUAUUCAUAUUCCUGCUCUCACACAAACACCUUCCAUGGUGAGCCUGUUUAUGCAACUGCGUGUGCCAUACAAUUGUUUUUAUUACCUUCUUAUAAAACAGCCUGUAUAAAACACCUUCUUUUUGAUUGUUUCUCUGCGUAUUGUUGAGCGUGUUUGCAUUCUAAAGGGCUUUGCCUCAUUAAAGCAAUUACUGUAAA